UAAAAUUUUUUAUUUUUGAAGACAUAGACCUUAACAUUUGGGCCCUCCCAAGCAACAUCACAUUAGAAAAAAUUAUUUUGCCCC